UACGUAGGGUGCAAGCGUUAAUCGGAAUUACUGGGCGUAAAGCGUGCGCAGGCGGUGAUGUAAGACAGAUGUGAAAUCCCCGGGCUUAACCUGGGAAUUGCAUUUGUGACUGCAUGGCUAGAGUGUGGCAGAGGGGGAUGGAAUUCCGCGUGUAGCAGUGAAAUGCGUAGAUAUGCGGAGGAACACCGAUGGCGAAGGCAGUCCCCUGGGCCUGCACUGACACUCAUGCACGAAAGCGUGGGGAGCAAACAGG
rnacentral:rRNA from 1 species